UUUGUUUUUAUUGGGGCUAAUCCCAUUUAGUCAUUAUGUUUAUUAUUUUGUAAGAGUUUAGGACAGGUGAAAAAUUGGGCCUAAGGCCCAAAGAAAGAUAUUUAUUUACGUUAGUUUAGGACAAGUGUAGGUGACUCAAAUGGGUCUAAGGCCCGAAACGAAAUGGGCCCAAGUAUUGGUCCAGGCGGACAGAAAACCAAACUUGGGCCCGAGUUUCUUUCCCUCUUUAUUUUAUUGUAUUUGCGUGCUUGAUAAUAUUUGCCGCUAAUCUUAAAGUUGAAAAAUUCAAAUCCCCGAAA
rnacentral:lncRNA from 1 species